AUUGAACGCUGGCGGCAGGCCUAACACAUGCAAGUCGAGCGAGCGGCGGACGGGUGAGUAAUGUAUGGGGACUGCCCGAUAGAGUGGGAUAACUCCUUGAAACGGUAGCUAAUACCGCAUUCUAUCGGGUAUCCCAUAUGGGAUUAGCUGGUAGGUGGGGUGAUGGCUCACCUCGACGACGAUCCCUAGCGGGUCUGCGAGGAUGAUCAGGCACCCUGGGACUGAGACACGGCCCAGAGUCCUACGGAGGCAGCAGUGGGGAAUAUGGCACAAUGGGCGCAAGCCUGAUGCAGCCAGGCCGCGUGUAUGAAGAAGGCCCUAGGGUUGUAAAGUACUUUCAGUCGGGAGGCGUUACCGGCAGAAGAAGCACCGGCUAACUACGUGCCAGCAGCCGCGGUAAUUC
rnacentral:rRNA from 1 species